rnacentral:misc_RNA from 1 species
GAUGAAGAACGUAGCGAAAUGCGAUAAGUAAUGUGAAUUGCAGAAUUCAGUGAAUCAUCGAAUCUUUGAACGCACAUUGCGCCCGCUAGUAUUCUGGCGGGCAUGCCUGUCCGAGCGUCAUUUCAACCCUCAAGCCCCCGGGCUUGGUGUUGGGGAUCGGCGAGCCUCCGCGCCCGCCGUCCCCUAAAUCUAGUGGCGGUCUCGCUGUAGCUUCCUCUGCGUAGUAGCACACCUCGCACUAGGAAACAGCGCGGCCACGCCGUUAAACCCCCAACUUCUGAACGUUUGACCUCGGAUCAGGUAGGAAUACCCGCUGAACUUAAGCAUAUCAAUAAGCGGAGGA